rnacentral:sRNA from 1 species
GGCCUAGCCUUACUCUUACUGGCUGUAAUUUCAGUGUUGAAGUAAAAACAACGAAGUUUUGACUGAUAUUUAGGAGAAGAAUAAUUGAGAAGUUUUCAUUGCAUUGGGUCAGAAGAUAGAAUGGAAGAAAAGGAAAACUGCUAAGGAAAUAAAUACAGUAUUAAAGGAUGGAAAUGUUUAUACUGAGACGUUGUCACUGGCACUAAAGAGAAUAGGAUUAGAGAGCAAUGAAUAAAAAAUAUUUAUUAAGCACCUACUGUGGAAAUACUUGUUAAAUAUCUUCCAUCAACAGAUAAACAGAUGGACAAAAAGAUUUCUAUUUUAAAGGAUCAUGGCUAUAUAGAAAAUUUGACAUUUGGAUGGGAUGGACCAUCUUGGAGGCUACUCACAGCCCUUAAGUUGUUAUGUCUGGAAGCUGAGAAAUUUACAUGCUGGAAAAAAGUACUUCUUGGGGAGGUAAUUUCAGAUACGAAUGAGAAGACAAGUUUGGACAUAGCCCAGAAAAUAUGCUAUUAUUUCAUAGAAGAGACUAAUGCUGUGCUUCAAAAGGUGUCUCAUAUGAAGGAUGAAAAAGAGGCCCUGAUAAACCAACUAACGUUGGUGGAAUCCUUGUGGACGGAAGAGCUAAAGAUUCUCAGGGCAUCUGCCGAGACCCUGCACAGUUUGCAAACAGCUUUUACCUGAUUUCACCGAAGCGCAUUUGGUCACCUCCUCUG